AUCUUUGUGCAGUGACAGUAUCGUAGACUAUGAGGUUUUAUCCGAGGCGAGAUUAUUGCUGGUUGAAAACUUCACCCAUUCCCCGUCUUGACGACUUGAAAUGAGGUCGGCUAUGGCAACUUUUGAUGCUCUCAACAGGGA